rnacentral:lncRNA from 10 species
CAUGAGUCGGGAUAAUCACCGAAUUCUCUUCGACCUUCCUCAGCUCCUGGUUUGUUAAGGCAAACCCCCAUCUCUGGCUUCUCCUGGAACCUCACCUGGGAAAGAAAGAGGCAGCCCCGGAGCUGGAAGCUGCUUCAGGGCUCACCCGGAACAGCAGACUCAACCUGGACCCAUCCAGGCAUCUCCUGGGAGUUUCACCCAAUUGCUUCUGCCUGGCACCAGCUCAGAGGUUCUGACAGAAUUGGCCUGGGGUGAGACCUGGCAUCCAUGGGAUUUUUACAAGCUUCCAGGUGAUUCUACAGGGAAGCCAAGCCUUCCAGGCCCCGGUGGGAUGAGACUUCCCUGCCCCCACGGUUGAGAGGAGCCAUGGGCUUAUUCUAGCCAAUGAAUGGUGGAUGGACG